UCUGAAUGGAAGGGCCAUCGCUCAACGGAUAAAAGGUACUCCGGGGAUAACAGGCUGAUACCGCCCAAGAGUUCAUAUCGACGGCGGUGUUUGGCACCUCGAUGUCGGCUCAUCACAUCCUGGGGCUGAAGUAGGUCCCAAGGGUAUGGCUGUUCGCCAUUUAAAGUGGUACGCGAGCUGGGUUUAGAACGUCGUGAGACAGUUCGGUCCCUAUCUGCCGUGGGCGCUGGAGAACUGAGGGGGGCUGCUCCUAGUACGAGAGGACCGGAGUGGACGCAUCACUGGUGUUCGGGUUGUCAUGCCAAUGGCACUGCCCGGUAGCUAAAUGCGGAAGAGAUAAGUGCUGAAAGCAUCUAAGCACGAAACUUGCCCCGAGAUGA
rnacentral:rRNA from 1 species